UACGUAGGGUGCAAGCGUUGUCCGGAAUUAUUGGGCGUAAAGAGCUCGUAGGCGGUUUGUCGCGUCUGCUGUGAAAACUCGGGGCUUAACUCCGGGACUGCAGUGGGUACGGGCAGACUAGAGUGCGGUAGGGGAGACUGGAAUUCCUGGUGUAGCGGUGAAAUGCGCAGAUAUCAGGAGGAACACCGGUGGCGAAGGCGGGUCGCUGGGCCGUAACUGACGCUGAGGAGCGAAAGCGUGGGGAGCGAACAGG
rnacentral:rRNA from 1 species